rnacentral:rRNA from 1 species
UACGAGGGGGGCAAGCGUUGUUCGGAAUUAUUGGGCGUAAAGAGCUCGUAGGCGGCCUGUUGCGUCCGCUGUGAAAGCCCGGGGCUUAACCCCGGGUCUGCAGUGGAUACGGGCAGGCUAGAGGUAGGUAGGGGAGAAUGGAAUUCCCGGUGUAGCGGUGAAAUGCGCAGAUAUCGGGAGGAACACCGGUGGCGAAGGCGGUUCUCUGGGCCUUACCUGACGCUGAGGAGCGAAAGCGUGGGGAGCGAACAGG